rnacentral:rRNA from 1 species
UGGGGAAUAUUGGACAAUGGGCGAAAGCCUGAUCCAGCCAUGCCGCGUGUGUGAAGAAGGUCUUCGGUUUGUAAAGCACUUUAAGUUGGGAGGAAGGGCAGUAAGCGAAUACCUUGCUGUUUUGACGUUACCGACAGAAUAAGCACCGGCUAACGCUGUGCCAGCAGCGGCGGUAAUACAGAGGGUGCAAGCGUUAAUCGGAAUUACUGGGGGUAAAGCGCGCGUAGGUGGGUCGUUAAGUUGAAUGUGAAAGCCCCGGGCUCAACCUGGGAGCUGCAUCCAAAACUGGCGAGCUAGAGUAGAGCAGAGGGUGGUGGAAUUUCCUGUGUAGCGGUGAGAUGCGUAGAUAUAGGGAGGAACACCAGUGGCGAAGGCGACCACCUGGGCUCAUACUGACACUGAGGUGCGAAAGCGUGGGGAGCAAACAGG